GAAGCGACCCUGCGAAGGCAAGCGAACCCCAAAAAAGCCGUCCCAGUUCGGAUUGCAGUCUGAAACUCGAGUGCAUGAAGCUGGAAUCGCUAGUAAUCGCAAAUCAGAAUGUUGCGGUGAAUACGUUCCCGGGUCUUGUACACACCGCCCGUCACACCAUGGGAGUUGGAAAUGCCCGAAGUCAGUGACCCAACCUAAGGGAGGGAGCUGCCGAAGGCAGGUUCGAUGACUGGGGUGAAGUCGUAACAAGGUAGC
rnacentral:rRNA from 1 species